rnacentral:miRNA from 1 species
ACUUGGCAGUACUACCAACCC